UACGAAGGGGGGCUAGCGUUGCUCGGAUUGACUGGGCGUAAAGGGCGCGUAGGCGGUUCGUACAGUCAGACGUGAAAUCCUGGGCUCAACCUGGGGGCUGCGUUUGAUACGUGCGGACUUGAGUGCGGAAGAGGUCGUGGAAUUCCCAGUGUAGAGGUGAAAUUCGUAGAUAUUGGGAAGAACACCGGUGGCGAAGGCGGCGACCUGGUCCGAUACUGACGCUGAGGCGCGAAAGCGUGGGGAGCAAACAGG
rnacentral:rRNA from 1 species